rfam:Triticum urartu cultivar G1812 contig106052, whole genome shotgun sequence.
GUAGUACUUGCUCCGUUCGAAAAUACUUGUCAUCAAAAUGAAUAAAAAAGAUGUAUCUAGAUGUAUUUUAGUUCUAGAUACAUCCCUUUUUGUCCAUUUUGAUGACAAGUAUUCUCGGACGGAGGGAGUAGUAG